rnacentral:rRNA from 1 species
UCAAAGAUUAAGCCAUGCAUGUCUAAGUUCACACCCUCGUACGGUGAAACCGCGAAUGGCUCAUUAAAUCAGUCGAGGUUCCUUAGAUGAUCCAUUUCUACUUGGAUAACUGUGGUAAUUCUAGAGCUAAUACAUGCCCAACAGCUCCGACCCCGGGCUUCGCGGUUCGGGGAAAGAGCGCUUUUAUUAGUUCAAAACCAGUCGGGGGUUUCGGCCCUCGUGCUUUGGUGACUCUGGAUAACUUUGAGCCGAUCGCAUGGCCUCGAGCCGGCGACGCAUCUUUCAAAUGUCUGCCCUAUCAAAUGACGACGGUACGUGAUCUGCCUACCGUGUUGACUACGGGUAGCGGGGAAUCAGGGUUCGAUUCCGGAGAGGGAGCAUGAGA